GCGAUGGGAACACCUGGAAAUUUUAUAAAUCCUUAUCCAUAUUGAGGGAAGCAUGAGAAUAAGCAGCCAAUGUGAAGAUAAACUGUUGCUAUGGCAGACAAGGGACUCAUUAGCACUGUACUCUGAAUGACCAAAGAAGGAUUGAGACCUUGCUUGGAAAAGUUAUUAUAGAUGGUUGAAGGUUUAAGCCGAAGAUCGGCUGGGUUCUCUACUGUGGACUUCCCAUCUCAAGGAUGGCUCAUCUCACGGUGAAUCAUGAACUUGGGGCUUUCACAUCCAGACUUGGUUUCUGUUGACAUCAGAUCCAAUCAGACUUCCAAAGCUGACUGUAUUGAAAU
rnacentral:lncRNA from 1 species